UUUGGCGCCCGUUCUGCAAUGGGAUGCCCCGAAGCCCCCCGAGGGAUAAUACAGGCUCUCCCAUCCAACUCCUACUCCGACGCGUCCUCGUCGUGUAGAGUGGUAACAUCCCACAGCAAAGUGACAUUUGCUCUAAAUUGUUUUCCCAUAUCUGCUCGAUUAGUACUCGAUACGCUUAAAAUUGUGAAUUUGUGUGUG
rfam:Anopheles gambiae M scf_1925489540 genomic scaffold, whole genome shotgun sequence.